AGGUUGGGUCUUGCGCAAUGGGAACCUGUGAACCAUGUCAGGUCCGGAAGGAAGCAGCAUUAAGCAGUGCUUCUCAUGUGCCGCGAGGUCGCCUGGCCCGAGC
rnacentral:SRP_RNA from 18 species